rnacentral:lncRNA from 1 species
CUAUUAACCUGGGCUUUUGUAAGAAUUGAGCGAGCGACCAGCAAAACAAGGUUGAGCUUAAAAGGUGGAUGACCCGCCGAGUCAGAAAAUGGCGGCCGGCAAGAUGCAGAGAGGAAGGAGACGAUAGGAAGGAGAGAUGGGAGAAAGUAGAGGUAAAGAUGAAGAUGAAGAUGUAGAUUAGUUAUAGAUGAAGACGAGUUUUGAAUGAAAAAGGUUACUACUGAACGAUAACGAAUUUAAUUUGAAAACGAAUAUAAUUUUUUGAAAACGACUAUACUUUGAAAAUAACCUAAACCGAUAAAUUUAUAGCUAAAAACUUCACAAAUUGUAUUGUGGAAUGUUUUCUUACAUAUCACCAAAAUUGCAUCCUUUUGGAACUGGACUCUGCUAGCCAACUGUGCUUAUCAUUGUUGACUUGUAUAAUCCCUCAUUGCGGCUAAUCGAUGUUGGAUAGACAGUAAAUGAAAAAAAUGGAGAAAAACAAUUUGGUGAAAAAAUUGACCAUCCUAUAUAUGGGUGACUCUUGAUCAUAUGUAUAUCUCUGAUCAUAUGUGUCUUUGACCAUAUGUAUCUUUAAAAAUGCUAUAGUGUUUUACAAGCGUAACUUAUUAAAUUUCUACCAACCCAUUUUAUUGUCAUAUCCAUUCUCCUCUAGUAUCUAUUCUAUCUUACUACUUCUUCCUAUUCUACUCGAAUAAACUUGCCGAUUAACUUUUUGCUCUAGAGCCGAGUCCACUUUUGAAGCGGGGCUUUUUCUCAACAAAAUGACAUUUUCUCUUCAACUGCGAAAUCAAACCAUUCUUUUUUCUACUGUUGCUUCAGCCACCAAUCUGAUUACGAUACAAUCUCAAAUGGCGCUGCUCAGUAUCAACUUGCCGGCAAACUUCGUACCAUCCAAAUUAAAUCAACAGCAACCAUACAAUGUAAUGAUAUAUACGCGACAACUUAUCCGGACAAGUGUACUGUUUUUUAGUGUUGUAUUCCUAUCUACUAUCUAUAAAAAGAAUUACAAAUUUCAUGAAUUAUUAUGCAACUAAGAACGAAACGCACUUUUUACAACUUCCUUGUUUUGUCUUACCUUACUCUGUGUAAUACGUAUUUUUUUCAAGUGGGCGCCCACAACUGUAGGUGAGAAGAGUGAUGGUCAUUUUGUAACUAUGAUGGCAACAAGCUCAAAUAACGUUGCCUUGGUACAUUUAGGGACAUAUUUUUUUUUUCCAGUUCAGUAGUAUCUAAGCCUACCUUGAAAUCCCACGCACAACCUUAAAAAUAGUACACUUUAUACCACAUACUCUAAUGCUGCCGGAUGCACUUUUCCGGUUGAGCGUUGCAACUUCAUUUUAUAUAUUUCGCUGUUGACGAUGAAUGUGUCUUAAAUUGACGUACAAAAAAAAUAUAUUAGGUUGCAAAUUAUUACACCAUUAGUCGUUGUUGGAUUGCGUUCACGUUAGAAUGUGCUAUUUCCUUGAAGUGGAGGAAUUCAGGGGAUGGUUAGUUUGAAGUUGGAGGAGAUUCAAGGAGGAGCGAAUGGAUGAAAUACAAUUAAAUGAAUAGCCGAUUUGCUGGAGAGCAAUUCGAUAAAACUGGUAAUGAGCGAGAAAACGGCGCAAAUUAUUUUAAAAAAAAAAAAAAAAAAAAGAAAAAAGAAAAACAAAUGCAAUACUCAAAAUAUGGUGGUCCAUCAGUGGCAAGCAAUCUUACACUGCGAUGUAUUUCUUGGUGAUAGACAUCCAGUGCAUUUCAAGAUGCAUGCAAUUCACAGAUAGGUACUGAUAUUGAAUAUGCAAUCCACAGAUGCAUUGUCCACGGAAAACUCAGACACCUAGAUAAAUUCACAAUAUACCACAAUCCCAUGGAUAGCUCGUGAACUCUCCAAUUUCCCCUUGUCAACCCUUUUUAAUUGCGCAUCCGUCUCUCCAGACGACUUGUCACGAGAGACCACCACAUAGAGCAACGUGGGGUUACUCUCGCCUUUCUUAUCCCACUAGUCAAUCUUUUAAUAUCCUUGAUGUGGGAUGCCAAAACCUUUGGUGGGGGCAUCAUACUCCCGGGGGGCAGUAUUCUCGUACUAGCUCUUGAAAUAUAUUCUCAGUUCUACCAUCUGAGUAUUGAGUUUUCCAUGUGGGGUGUUCAUCCCUUUGUGGGGUAGCAAGAAUACGGUGAUCUUCCUCCUGAGUGCAAACCGUUGAUACACUAUUUUUUGGCUCCAAGUGGGUCCAAAUAGGAUCAAGUGGGGGGAGGGGUUUCCAGUUCAAAAUAUACCAUUUCACUAUAGACACUACUAUAUCCCAUUUGAAUUUCGCUCUAUUUCCCCAUAUUCUACUGCACCUUCUAACAUGGCUUUAACAGCUCAGUUACGAUAACGGCCAAGCUAUCGUGAAAUGUGUUACUGGUGCACUAUGAUCCUUAACAAUAUCCAUAUUUCCAUGUUUAAACAAACAAACUGAUAAAUAAAUAAAUAAUAUUGCAUGCUCUUUAUCUGUGUAUCAUUGGCAUGCAUUAUCAGCAUGGACUCAUAAUCAUACUUGCCUACUGAUAUUUGAUUUUCGCCAAUAUCCCUUAUUCAAAUUUGAUACUCUGCUUUUCGCCAUCUCGCAUAUAUUUUCUUCCAUUAGCAACUUCAAAACACAUUUGCUAUCGUUUUAAGGUCUCCCCGUAUCCCUCUAAUUCGGUAAAGCUAUCUCUCGCCUAUGUUACCUUAAAUUUUCUUCCUUGCUAUUUUCCUUCGCUACACUAAACUCGUUUCGCAUGUUAGAUAUAUUUUUAUUUCGUACGAAUCCAACAUUCGGCAUUCCUUCUUAAUUCUUUGACUACUUCAGCAUCGUAGCUCACGUGAAACUUGCAAGAGGAACACACUCCCUCGUCAUCUACCUUGUGUCUUCUAUAAUUAUUUGAAUCGGUAAAUACUCGCACUUUGCCACACUUUGGUUAUGUACUCGUCGAUACCUCUCUUAUUGCACUCUUUCUUUGUUGCACCUUUUUCAAAUGCGGAACACCAACUCCCGCCUUUUCUUUCGCUAAAUACACGAUUCAAUGCCGCCUUGUAACUUGUAAGCAUCAUACAAAGACAUUGUUUUCCACUGUUUGUUCGUCUUCAAUGUGAAAUGCGAAUGUAGAUCUUAAGGGGGUUCUCCAAGUCAUUUGAAUCCGAGUAUAAUUUUCCAAAGCACUGAUAGAUCUCUGAGAAUUUUAUCAGUUUCUAUUGUUGAUCUUUCUCUGACAAAACUUUCACAUUAUACCACCCUCAACCUCGUUUCUGCUCAUAUGCGUAGGCGAAUAUGAGUGACUGGCCAUAAUGGUUAAUAGUGCUUAUCCCCAGUUUGCAUAUUUUCCCAUAAACAAUAUGUUUAUUGGUGUUUCUCACUGAUAAAUGUCGGAUGAUCAAGCGUAAUUUUUCGGCAUUGAACAAAUGAAGCUUCUUUCUCUCUUUCCAUAACUAUGUCAAUUUUAAAAAAAGAAAACCCCAGUGAAAAAAAUAUUUUUUAGUGGGAAACAACUAUCUGUCAUCCAUUUGCAAUUCUUUUUUAUGACUAUAAAAUCUUAGUUGUUUUUUUUCGCGUAUGUUCAAAAUUGUCUAUAAUGUAUCACAUGUCUGAAAUAUUUUAUCGAAUACAUACUUGUAUAACUCCCAUAUCUUGUGCAUAAAAAAAGGUACUCGGCUGGACAAUAUAGGUACCGCGACUCAUAAAAUUGAAUAGAACUAUUACCUACCAAGAUUCCUGUUUAACAGAAUAAUCGCAACUUUAUAAAGACAUGAUAGAAAUCCAUAACCUUAC